GCCCGAAUAGUCCAGGGGUAAGAUUCAUCCUUCGGGGUUUUCACUUCGGCUCUCAAAAGAGCUCUGUAUGGAUGAGACCCGCGUUCGAAUCGCGGUUCGGGCC